CGGCCACCUCAGAUCACCAGGUGUCCACACCACGGGGAGCAGGGGGUGUGUGAGCCUCCUUCUUCAUUGCGCUGACAGACUACCAGCUGGUGGGGGAGGGGUGGGCUUGACGGCCAUCCUCUCUGCUGGACAGCACGACCCCCCAGCUGAGGGACCAGCCCUACUUCCACCUGAAGUCCCACGGUCCCAAGCUGGGAGACCUCAGGAGAAGUGCCCCUCAGUCUCUUUCCCUUCCCCUGCCUGCCA